ACGAGGUGACGAUGAAAUUCAUGGCUUGUCAAUCCACUAAAAUUAUUAGUGUGAUGUUAAUCAUGAAUAUUCCGGACAGGUUCUGAUCAU
rnacentral:snoRNA from 1 species